AAUGUUACUUUUUUGAGAAAUCCUUUAGGGGCUUUAGCACACCCCCAACAAAACGAAAAACAAGAAGCUAUAGCCUCAAUGGCUAUAGGCCUCAAACAACUGGGCUAAGAAUGCAUGACACGCCGUUUCAGAUUUUUGAACUAGCAGGACACAUGGUGUAAUCACCAUAGCAUUGCCUUUGUUGCUUCAGACAGGUUAGAAAUGGCUUUGAGAAAGAAACUAUGGGAGAAUCUUGUAGAAGAAUUCAGUAAAACCUAUUUUAUGCAUUCGAGAUUUUAUAGUUCAAGAGUCGACUUUAAGAAGCUAAGGCCUAUGAUAUUAAAGAGGAUUCAAAAUCGUGCCAAGGAUUAUCCGGUAAAAGGAAUGGUCCCGGUUGCCCGAGAGGUUCUUGAAAAAAGAAAGCUUCUUAUUCAAGGUGUUUCCACUCUUAUGGAAGUUUUUCCGGUCCUCGCUUGCAAGUUCUGUCCUGAAGUAUAUAUUGGUGAGAAGGGUCAUUUGAUUCAGACUUGUUAUGGUUACAAGCGUUGUGGUAGGAAGCGGGUUCAUGAAUGGAUCCCUGGGGGUUUAAAUGAUAUACUGGUGCCAGUAGAGACAUUUCGCUUAGAUAACAUGUUCCAAGAUGUUAUCGAACAUGACCAAAGGUUUGAUUUUGAUCGUGUUCCUGCAGUUGUGGAGUUAUGCAGGCAGGCAGGUGCCAAUAUAGAUGAUGAGAAUCUCCACCCUGGCAUGUUGGAUUUGGACGGGGGGAUUGGUCAUAUUGAUGGAGGUGAGCCUUUCUCACCUAGCCAUUUGAUGUAUAUAGCCAAAGAAAUUCUCGAUGCAUGGGAGAAGCUUAGAUCAGGUGUGCAAAGGUUGUUGUUGGUUUAUCCAUCCAAAGUUUGCAAGCAUUGUUCUGAAGUUCAUGUUGGGCCAUCUGGACACAAGGCUCGGCUUUGUGGGGUAUUUAAGUUUGAGAGCUGGCAUGGGAAGCACUUCUGGAAGAAGGCAGAAGUUGAUGAUUUAGUGCCUCCAAAGAUUGUGUGGCGGCGGCGGCGGCCUCAAGAUCCUCCUGUUCUUGUGAAUGAAGGGCGAGAUUUUUACGGACAUGCACCAGCAGUGGUGGAUCUAUGCACGAAGACUGGCAUUAUUGUACCAACAAAGUAUUCUUGCAUGAUGAAAAUUCAGGGUUUAUCAGCACCUGUUUCAAGAUGAUGUCUUUUGAUUGAAUCUAAAGUUGAGUCGGCAUCAAGAUAUUCGUUCUGAUGAUUUAUGAGCCUCAAAAACGCAUGUGAUAUACAGUCAAAGUUCAAAAUCGAAACAUGGCUGUCUAGGUGAACAGAUUUCAAGCAAUACAUAGCUGUCCAGGUCUUUCUCUCUUCUUUUUUCUCUCUUGAAUGGGACUGAUCAGGGAUGAACAAAAACCUUAUGCUUAAUACAAUGAGAUUGGUGGUGGAGAUUUUGACAGGUAUCCUCUUCUACAUUCAACUGGAUAAAAUGUCACAGUUGCUGAUCUCAAGCGAGAGAUUGAGGCACAGCAAGAGCUGCCUCAAGAUCGAUUGAUCAGGUUUCUCGAUAACCAUCAAAGCCAUCUGAUAAUUUAUCAGGAUUGGAGAUGGAACGUCUCUAGUUGAUUGUGGGAUUCAAGAUGGAUCUCACAUCUACCUUUUCUUCGAUCCACUUCACGAUGAGUCUCCUCAUCACUUGUUCUCCUGGCAUGAUCCUUUCUUGAAGUAGUCAUAGCAUUCUUUUCGAAAUUCCACGUUGAAAAGAGGUUUAAACUUUGCCAUACUGUUGUAUGUUUGAGGUUAAGUGGACGAAAGAAAAUACUUAGAAUAGACAUGAAGAGCAGCUACACAUUACUAAUAUAUCAUUAGAGAAAUGAAUUAUUA